GCUUAACAGGCAAGGAGAAGGGCGCUCUGCAUUCAGAUUCCUUUUCCUCUUCCUCGCCCACACGCAACCGUCUGACCUCUCCUCUCUCCCCUGUGCUCUCCGCCGCCGCCGCCGCCGCCCUGCCUCACCCCACCUCCUUCCCUUGGCCGGCGCUCCACCCAUCCGCUCUCCCCAUUUUUGUGCGAAACCCGCGAUGGCGGCGGCUGAUUGAUGUGGGAUUUGGCGGUAGCGACGGGGCCUCAAGCAGGGAUACGAGGAGGAAGGAAGAUGGUUGUAGAUCCAUGAGGAGCACGAGGCGGCGAUCCAUAAUAGAUCCUGGGAUCAGCAUCAUGGCCGCGGAGACAAAGGCCUUCUUCCACUCAAGGCCGACCGCAGCCACGACGUUCCCCCAUGCCUCGGCGAGGUGGGCCAAGCUGGCGCAUACGGCAAAGAGCGGCUGCGGCAGCGGUGGAGUUGCGGGGGCUGGUGGUGGAUAUUGCUGCGAAAUCGACUGGUGGCGCCGCCGUGGAAAGCUUCCAUGCUCUGCAGCCGCACGGCAAGUCUUCCUCCUCCUGCUGCUGCAUCACAAAUUAGUUCAAUAUACUGUGAGUGAGCGAGCAAAGGACUAAUAAUUAUUAGCAGGUUCCUAUUCUUGACAUUCCUGAUGUUGUUUUCUAGAGCAAUGCUAUUGCACGUUAUGGUAUAUAUUGUUACAUAUUUUGAAUCCAAGUCUUACUGAUUUCACACUGCCUAAACUGGCCACUGUUUUCUUUUUUCCUUCAAUUGCUUGCUCAAAGGGUGACAACCUGCUAUGGGGUGGUUCUCUAAUUUCAUAUGCGAGUAAUAUGAGAAGUACUCCCAUCGUCUUAACUCAGCAAGCUUUAGUGCUUAUUUGUUAAUAAUCGUGGGUUCUGCCAUGUCACUAGCGUCCCCUCGUCGUCGACGGCGGCUCAGGUGAUUGAUCUAUAUAUCGCAAUUGAUUAAGCUGGUUUUAGCAUGAGCUUGCAGUAUACAAAAUCUGAUUUUUUUUUUCAUCACGUUCUGUACUAAAUAGGAGGAACUAAGAUGAGCAAUGUAUUUUAGUUCUAAGGAGAUAGAUCAUAAUUGUUGUGUGCUAAUUCUUUGAACGAACUCUUUUUUUAAUCCUUAUGUAGGUUUUAUAUUUUUGGAGAUUUACGUGAUAUGUACCAUGACUUAUGUCCUGUACGGUUGCGGGGAAUGUAUCGAGUAAAUGCAGCAUCCUUGAUGUUUGAAGUUACCGGGGCAUGGACUCUAAUUUGCAACAACAAAGUUCAUACCAUUGUUGUGUGGGUCAGUCAGAUUAUAUAGACAUGCAUGAUCCAUUUUCCGAGACGGGUGGGAUUGCUGGUACUGGAAGCGGGUGAGGAAGACAUGGCUCGGUUUGAAGUGUCACCGCGUACUGUUGGUUGGACCUUUCCUUAAAAAACUCAGCAUUAUCUCCAAUUUGUUUACAAAGUUAUAGGCAAGCCUAAACAUGUGGCGGGUUCAGUUUUUUUCAACUUUGGAGUUCAAUCUGUUCCAGAUUUGGGUCCUCACCGGCUCAUUCGAAAACGACCUCAACAUCAUCGAAGCCAGGAGGCAGGAUAGUGCGGUGCAAGACGGUGCUGGGCGAGGUGGCAAGAGGCGAUGACGACGGAUGAUACAAUGGUCAGUAGAUAAAAGGUAAGUGCCACCGCCGUUUGGUCCCUCUCCUCUCCUCCUUGCUUCUGCUUCUUUCUACAUUCAUGUUUCCUUUGCUUGCCUCGUCCGAUGUUGUUCAUCUCCAUUGCCUAAUGGGGGCCUCUUUGGGGGCUAAUCUAAGAUCAGGCAGCACAGGAGGAGAGACGGCUCUCACGGAUUAGGAUGUUGCACAUCAGGUGAACCAUUUGAUGGGCUGUUCAACAUGCUGAUCUUAUUGAUUUGUUCUUGACAUAUCCUUUGUGCUGCUGUAUUUUUUGAAUUAGUUGGUGGUUUAUAUUAGAAGUACUAACAUUCUGUCACUUUUGAGCCAUUGGUACUAUAUGUAAUUAGUAUGAACUAAAACUGCUGCUUCUGUGUUCAUAUAAGGCUCUUAAUAUCUAUGAUGUCACUAUUUUCCUUUUAA